rnacentral:ncRNA from 1 species
CAAAGGUUCGGUCCCAGCCUUGAAAUCAGUUAUUACCCAGCAUACACAUGCAAGUCUCCGCACCCCUGUGAGAACACCCUUAUUCUUUUAUUAAAGAUAAGGAGUAGGUAUCAGGCACAAUAAUUAGCCCAAGACACCUAGUCAUGCCACACCCACACGGGAUUUCAGCAGUGAUUAACAUUAAACAUAAGCGACAGCUUGAUUUAGCCAGGGUAAAGAGAGCCGGCAAAUCUGGUGCCAGCCGCCGCGGCUACACCACGUGGCUCAAAUGGAUUUCUUUCGGCGUAAAGCGUGGUUUAAGAGCAUAACAAGCUAGAGUUAAACUUAAAUUAAGUUGUGAUAAUCUUGUAUUUAGGAAGCCCAAAAACGAAAGUUACUCUAAUAUAAUCAACUUGAACCCACGACAGCUAGGACACAAACUGGGAUUAGAUACCCCACUAUGCCUAGCCGUAAACUUUAAUUUACAACCAAAUCGCCAGGGAACUACGAGCAAAGCUUAAAACCCAAAGGACUUGACGGUACCCCACAUCCACCUAGAGGAGCCUGUCCUAUAAUCGAUGAUCCACGUUAAACCUCACCACUUCUAGUUUAUCAGCCUGUAUACCUCCGUCGUCAGUUUACCGCAUGAGCGGCCUUCAGUAAGCUCAAUGGUUAUUCACCAAUACGUCAGGUCAAGGUGCAGCAUAUGAAGUGGGAAGAGAUGGGCUACACUCUCUAACUUUAGAGGACACGAAAGACUUUAUGAAACAUAGUCAGAAGGCGGAUUUAGAAGUAAGAAGGAGUCAGAAUACCCUUCUUAACACGGUUCUGGGGUGUGUACACACCGCCCGUCAACCUCUUCGAUAGCCUAAUUUUUAGUACAUAACUAGCUAAUUGCACAAUAGAAGAGGUAAGUCGUAACAUGGUAAGUAUACCGGAAGGUGUGCUUGGAUA